rnacentral:rRNA from 1 species
UAAAGAUUCAUCGCUGAUAGAUAGGCAUGCGUUCCAUUAGGCAGUUGGCGGGGUAACGGCCCACCAAACCGACGAUGGAUAGGGGUUCUGAGAGGAAGGUCCCCCACAUUGGUACUGAGACACGGACCAAACUCCUACGGGAGGCAGCAGUGAGGAAUAUUGGUCAAUGGGCGUAAGCCUGAACCAGCCAAGUCGCGUGAGGGAUGAAGGUUCUAUGGAUCGUAAACCUCUUUUAUAAGGGAAUAAAGUGUGGGACGUGUCCUAUUUUGUAUGUACCUUAUGAAUAAGGAUCGGCUAACUCCGUGCCAGCAGCCGCGGUAAUACGGAGGAUCCGAGCGUUAUCCGGAUUUAUUGGGUUUAAAGGGUGCGUAGGCGGCCUUUUAAGUCAGCGGUGAAAGUCUGUGGCUCAACCAUAGAAUUGCCGUUGAAACUGGGGGGCUUGAGUAUGUUUGAGGCAGGCGGAAUGCGUGGUGUAGCGGUGAAAUGCUUAGAUAUCACGCAGAACCCCGAUUGCGAAGGCAGCCUGCCAAGCCAUGACUGACGCUGAUGCACGAAAGCGUGGGGAUCAAACAGGAUUAGAUACCCUGGUAGUCCACGCAGU